CAAAAUGAGCUAAAUAAAGCAUUAGCUACACCUAAAAGAUUUCAGCUAACCCUGCCCAUUUUG
rnacentral:tRNA from 1 species